UGGUAAAUAGUUUAAACAAAACAAAUGAUUUCGACUCAUUAAAUUAUGACAGCCAUAUUUACCAA
ensembl:Mt_tRNA